UUUCCCAACUUCAGCAAAAGCCAAGGCAGCCAACAAAGGCACAGCUGAGGUGGCGGUGCCUCUGCCGCCUGGGCAGCUCACCAGCCACCCCUCAGAAGCAGAUCAGACCCCUCAGAAGCAGAUCAGACCGUCCUUUCUUUUUUAAAACCCACGUCACCACCUGAUCAUAAUGGAGAUCAGUCUCCUCAAACCACCAUGCAAAGGCGUAUCCAUAGCAACCUCAAAAGGAAGGACACAAGAUGCUCCAGAGGCUGCAGCAAGGAAAGGACUGUCAGUGCUCUGCUCUGCCACGGGACCGCACGAUGGCUUUGAAGAUUAAAGCAAACCAUCUCUCCUUUCUGGUGCUUCAUCUGCUGCUCUGCCAAGCUUACAGGAAAUUACAUCAAAUGAGAUCAUGCCCAUAAAGUUCUGUAAUCUAAGGGAAACAUGAAAGCAAGGCAUCACUGUUGUAUCAUCGGUCCAAGUCCUCUAUUACUAUGCAAAAAUCUCGGCCUCUCUCCUCCCCCACUUCCAACCACUUCUUAUACCACAGUGAGACGAAUGCAUUCUCCAACACUGCUCUGCUCACUCAUCUGCCACCCUUCCAUGCUGUCUCACUUCUUGUUACCCAGUAAUCCUGGUUGUGGUGUGCAGCCUCAUCUCUGCAACACUGCAGCUACUUCCAGAGCUUUCUGUGGUCUUGCACACCACACCCAUCCUUCAAAGUCCAGCUAAAGUCCAGUAUGUGCAAAACAAAGCCAAAUUAAAGAAUGAAUUUUCUUCAA